rnacentral:lncRNA from 1 species
AUGUGGACAUCUCUGAGGAACACAGUGUUGCUGGAGCCUAUCCCAAGCAGCCUUGGUGGGGUGCCAGACCUCCGCAGCGACCCGAAAACCCUCACCUAUGAAGCGUGUUCCUGGACUGUGGAGGGAAAGCGGAGAAAAAACCCCCCGAGGAUAAACGUAUCUAAAGGCGUCACUGCAGACGUUUUUCCUCAACAGCAGAAAUCCUCGUCACACCAGGAGUUUCAAUCCUUUCGUGGAUUCAGUUUUCCAGAAAUCCUCUGAAGCGACAUCUUUCAUCAGAUUUCAAAGACUUAUGUUCUGUAACGCUCACGCUAAACAUGCACCGCUAAUGACAGACUCCUCUUUAUGAAGCAGGAAUAAUUGAAAAAACCCCAAAGAUCCAAUAAAAUUCUUUAGAUUCGAUUCUUUACAUUUUACAGUCAAGCAUUUUAUCACUUUCUGUUUAUUGUGUUUAUUUAACUGUUUUAGUCUGGUUGGACGUUAAAGGACAUGAAUCAACUGACAGCUGACAGGAGAAACGUGUCGAUUAUUUUAAAUAAUCAAUUUGCAAAUACUUUUUUUUCUACUUAAGGAAAAUAAACUACUUGGUAAUGAUGAGAAGAAUCUGCUGAGUCAUAACAUAAUUUGUGUUUGCCAAUCAUAACUCUAUUUUGGUUCAUUCUGAUUCCUAAAAUCUAUUCAGAACAUAUUUAUCUAAAUUCUGAACCAAUGUGACUCGGAUAAAUACCUGCGACUGAGCAGCGCAGGUGAAUCUUCUUGCAAGAUUGAUCUUAUUUUGAAACUAUUUUUAGGAACAGAAUUCAUCGUUACACUCCAAGUUUUUUGGGGGUUUUUUUGGCCAUUUUUAGUUUUCAUUUAUCAAAACAAUCUCAGAAUGAUGACGUCAAUCUCUCUAAACCAAUUUUCUUCACUGUCACAAAAAAUAUUUUAUUCUCACCGUAGCAAAGCUUGAAACCCUUAACGUUUACAAAAAGUUUAUUAUUUAUUAAAGAACAUUUUAAAAAAAAUUGAUCAGUUUUGGUGGAUUUAAAAAAGCAAACGUCACAUGCUGCUCAGGCUGUGAGUUUUGGGGUCUUCUGGGUCCACAAUAAGUUUUCAUUUCCUUUGAGGCUCACAAACUUUAUAUGUUUAAUCUUAGAAAUAACUCUCUUAAGGCAAUAAACAUCAGGAAAAAAAACUUUAGACUUUGUUGGGUAGUUGAAGGACUAAGAUGGAUACUUUAUGAGUUUCUCUCAUUGACUGUAUAAAAAAACUGGACUGAGUGACCCUCAGAGGGGAACAAAAAAAAAAUCUACAAUCCCACAUACUAAGCUAUUAUUCAGUCAUUCUAUUGGUCAGAAUAACUAUUCUUGAUUUUUUUAACAUCUUCUUGUUCAUCCUAUUUUUUCAUGACAAUAUUUCUUAGCUAUUUGGCCAAUCAGAGGCCUCGAUGUAAUGGCGACUGAAUUGACUUCAUUUGAUUGGAGCCGGAAGCAAACUGUUUUCUAUGGGUGACAUCAUACUCGCUCAGUCCAGUUUUCUUAUACAAUCAAUGGUUGCUCAUUUAAAAGUUAUUUAUCGUCUUAUUAAUUUUCAGUUCAUUUGUUUUUUGUCUUGUGGUGCUUUAUUUCAUUAAUACACUUUCAUAAACUUGACUCAUGUCAUGUAUUUCCGUCGAAUGGUGUUUUUUUUCUCAUCAAGUCUCACUCCAAGAUUUUUGAAAAGUUUUAGUACAAUAUAAUGUGAUUCAAAAUGUAAAAAAAACACAGAAGUUUAGAUUCAAUUAAAUACGAAGGCAAAAUUCUUUAAAUUUUAGCUCAUAAGUCAGUAAAUAGUUUAAGAAAUCGAUAGAUUUAAGGGGGAAAAGAAUUGGUGAUAACGAAGUAAUUUUGUCCGUCUUUGGUUUCCGUACAGUCCAAAACAACAUGGCGUCACGUGAGAACACAGCGGACUGAUUCCAGACAUGCUUUCGUGGUUUUCUCUCCUCGUGGCGACACUUUAAGGAUGUCGGUUGUUUUGUAAAGUCUCUGCGGUCAGUCUCCAGCGAGGGUCCGGUCCGGAGCGACUGAUCCCCGGUGGAGGUUCGGUUGGUGCCGCGGCCCGC